rnacentral:rRNA from 1 species
UACGUAGGGGGUAAGCGUUGUCCGGAAUCAUUGGGCGUAAAGCGCGUGUAGGCGGCUGGCUAAGUCCGCUCUGAAAGCCCGGGGCUCAACCCCGGGAGGCGGGUGGAUACUGGUCAGCUCGAGUCCGGAAGAGGAGUGUGGAAUUCCUGGUGUAGCGGUGAAAUGCGCAGAUAUCAGGAAGAACACCAAUGGCGAAGGCAGCACUCUGGGACGGUACUGACGCUGAGACGCGAAAGCGUGGGGAGCAAACAGG